rnacentral:rRNA from 1 species
GGGGAAUAUUGCACAAUGGGCGAAAGCCUGAUGCAGCGACGCCGCGUGAGUGAAGAAGUAUUUCGGUAUGUAAAGCUCUAUCAGCAGGGAAGAAAAUGACGGUACCUGACUAAGAAGCCCCGGCUAACUACGUGCCAGCAGCCGCGGUAAUACGUAGGGGGCAAGCGUUAUCCGGAUUUACUGGGUGUAAAGGGAGCGUAGACGGUAAAGCAAGUCUGAAGUGAAAGCCCGCGGCUCAACUGCGGGACUGCUUUGGAAACUGUUUAACUGGAGUGUCGGAGAGGUAAGUGGAAUUCCUAGUGUAGCGGUGAAAUGCGUAGAUAUUAGGAGGAACACCAGUGGCGAAGGCGACUUACUGGACGAUAACUGACGUUGAGGCUCGAAAGCGUGGGGAGCAAAC